rnacentral:rRNA from 1 species
UACGUAGGUGGCGAGCGUUGUCCGGAUUUACUGGGCGUAAAGGGCGUGCAGGCGGUUUGUUAAGUGCAGGGUGAAAGCUCCCGGCUCAACUGGGAGAGGUCCUUGCAUACUGGCGAACUCGAGGGAGGCAGAGGAAAGUGGAAUUCCUGGUGUAGCGGUGAAAUGCGUAGAUAUCAGGAGGAACACCGGUGGUGUAGACGGCUUUCUGGACCGACACUGACGCUGAGACACGAAAGCGUGGGGAGCAAACGGG